UCAAUCACUCACAUACUAGCAUCGGUUUAUGCGCCACCCAGUUGAAUUGUAUUCUUUUACCCGCCGUCCCGAAGCUCAGAAAAAAUAAAAAAGCGCCUGCCGCGAGGAAAAAAUUGUUUCUCGCGCCUGAUCGGUGAGCCCCGGCAAAAUUCCCGGCGGGCACAAAUGGACCGCUCCGUAGGGGGAAAUGCGGAGGGAUCAUUACCGAGUUUACAACUCCCAAACCCAAUGUGAACGUUACCAAUCUGUUGCCUCGGCGGGAUUCUCUGCCCCGGGCGCGUCGCAGCCCCGGAUCCCAUGGCGCCCGCCGGAGGACCAACUCAAACUCUUUUUUCUCUCCGUCGCGGCCUACGUCGCGGCUCUGUUUUAUUUUUGCUCUGAGCCUUUCUCGGCGACCCUAGCGGGCGUCUCGAAAAUGAAUCAAAACUUUCAACAACGGAUCUCUUGGUUCUGGCAUCGAUGAAGAACGCAGCGAAAUGCGAUAAGUAAUGUGAAUUGCAGAAUUCAGUGAAUCAUCGAAUCUUUGAACGCACAUUGCGCCCGCCAGUAUUCUGGCGGGCAUGCCUGUCCGAGCGUCAUUUCAACCCUCGAACCCCUCCGGGGGGUCGGCGUUUGGGGAUCGGCCCCUCACCGGGCCGCCCCCGAAAUACAGUGGCGGUCUCGCCGCAGCCUCUCCUGCGCAGUAGUUUGCACACUCGCACCGGGAGCGCGGCGCGGCCACAGCCGUAAAACACCCCAAACUCUGAAAUGUUGACCUCGGAUCAGGUAGGAAUACCCGCUGAACUUAAGCAUAUCAAAA
rnacentral:rRNA from 1 species